AAUGAACGCUGGCGGCAUGCCUAACACAUGCAAGUCGAACGAAGGCUUCGGCCUUAGUUGCGCACGGGUGCGUAACGCGUGGGAAUCUGCCCCUUGGUUCGGAAUAACAGUUAGAAAUGACUGCUAAUACCGGAUGAUGACGUAAGUCCAAAGAUUUAUCGCGGAGGGAUGAGCCCGCGUAGGAUUAGCUAGUUGGUGUGGUAAGAGCGCACCAAGGCGACGAUCCUUAGCUGGUCUGAGAGGAUGAUCAGCCACACUGGGACUGAGACACGGCUCAGAAUCUUACGGGAGGGAGCAGUGGGGAAUAUAGGACAAUGGGCGAAAGCCUGAUCCAGCAAUGCCGCGUGAGUGAUGAAGGCCUGAGGGAUGUAAAGCUCUUUUACCCGGGAUGAUAAUGACAGUACCGGGAGAAUAAGCUCCGGCUAACUCCGUG
rnacentral:rRNA from 1 species